rnacentral:rRNA from 2 species
UGCUUUUUAGAGACCGGCGCACGGGUGAGUAACGCGUAUGCAACCUACCUUUUACAGGGGAAUAGCCCGAAGAAAUUCGGAUUAAUGCUCCAUGGUUUAUUUGGAUGGCAUCAUUUGAAUAAUAAAGAUUUAUCGGUAAAAGAUGGGCAUGCGUGUCAUUAGCUAGUUGGUAUGGUAACGGCAUACCAAGGCAACGAUGACUAGGGGUCCUGAGAGGGAGAUCCCCCACACUGGUACUGAGACACGGACCAGACUCCUACGGGAGGCAGCAGUGAGGAAUAUUGGUCAAUGGAGGCAACUCUGAACCAGCCAUGCCGCGUGCAGGAUGACGGUCCUAUGGAUUGUAAACUGCUUUUGUACGGGAAGAAAUGUGCCUACGAGUAGGUAUUUGACGGUACCGUAAGAAUAAGGAUCGGCUAACUCCGUGCCAGCAGCCGCGGUAAUACGGAGGAUCCGAGCGUUAUCCGGAAUUAUUGGGUUUAAAGGGUUCGUAGGCGGUCAGAUAAGUCAGUGGUGAAAUCUCAUAGCUUAACUAUGAAACUGCCGUUGAUACUGUUUGACUUGAAUAGUAUGGAAGUAACUAGAAUAUGUAGUGUAGCGGUGAAAUGCUUAGAUAUUAC